UAAUUUUUGUGUGCUUUUUGCUGUAAGUUAUGCCUUCAAUGAGAAGAAAAAAGAGGAAGAGAAGGAAAAUGAAGUGAUUAAAGAGAAAUUUGAGGCUUGAAAAAAAUUCCAAAGUGAGGGUAACAAAACUUAAUCACUACAACUUCUAGGAAGGUCACAAACGCAAAGAAGCUUCUCCAGCAUUCCAAGACCCUGGACCACAUGGGGGCCAAGUGACCGUCACUCCACAAGAGUCAGAUCCACAGCAGGCCACGGGCCCACACCGCACGCUGAGGACGCCGCUCCCUCCCAAGCUCAGGCCAAGCUGGUGACACCGAAGGGCACGUGCAACAACAGCACAGCGUGAUGCCCCAGGAGAUGCGCGAAGUUCUCGGAGAACCUAGGGGAGGGGUGGUUUCUUGGAACACAGGACGUGGGAUCUGGGUUUUUAACAUUUUCUUCAGGCUUAUACUCUUGUUCUUUUUCUCUACUGUUGAGUCGAAUACUUCUCACGUACUCAUUGAAGGCUCUAACUUUUCAACUUCCUAAGACUCCACUGCAAGAGGGAAUGGAUGGGCUACUCAAGAGAGCUACUUACUUCACUCAUCUUCUACAAGUGAGCUCUUCCUUACAACUUAAAUAAUUCAUCUUCCACAAGUGAGCUCUUACUUACAACUUACUUCACUCAUCUUCUACAAGUGAGCUCUUCCUUACAACUUAAAUAAUUCAUCUUCCACAAAUGAGCUCUUACUUACAACUUAACUCAUCUGCCACAAGUGAUCUCUUCUUUACAACUUACUUAACUCAUCUUCUACAAGUGAGCUCUUCCUUACAACUUACUUAACUUAUCUUCCACAAGUGAGCUCUUCCUUUCAACUUACUUAACUCACCUUCUACAAGUGAGCAAUUUGGUUGUUUCCAUUCAUUAUUAUUAUAAUGAUGCCACAGUGAACACAAGAAUAAGUAUCUAAGGAAUAAGCUCUAAAAAUGGAAUCAGUGGGUCCAAGAGUCAAUUUUGCAGAUUGUGAUAUAUUUGCCAACUUGGUCUCCUAGUGUUUGUACAAAUCACCAUUCUGUAAGCAAUGUAUUACAUAGCAAUUAUAAUAAUGUCCAUUUUCCGAUGGCCUCAACAAUAAAGUAUGUUAUUAAACCCUCAUAUUUUUGCCAAUCUGAUUGGUAAAAUGUUUGCAUAAUACAAACUAGAAAAAGUACAUCUCAGAAUGGUUUAACUUUGGAAAGGCCAUAAGUAUAAUUUAUUAUAUUUACAGAUGCCAAGAAAGCAAUCAAUAAAAUUCAAUGUCCACUUAUGAUAUUUACUCUUAGCCUAAUGGGGAAGGUAAGGGAACAUCCUUAAUAUGAGAGAGAGACAGAGAGAGACAGAGAGAGAGGCUAAUUAUCAAAAAAUCUGCAGCCACAGCAUACUGCUAAUGGAAUUUUAGAAACAUUUUCAUACAAAUCAGACAUCCCAACAAGGUUGCUACUAUCAUUACUACUACUCAACACUACUCUGGUCAUCUAGACCAAUUAAAAAACAAAACAAAACAAAACAAAC
rnacentral:lncRNA from 1 species